ensembl:snoRNA SNORA70 Small nucleolar RNA SNORA70
CAACAGAUUCUUAAACCAGCCAGGUCCCUUCCUGGUAGGAGCCCAGCAUGCAACAGUCCAAACAGAGCCUGCUGGCCAGUGUAUCCACCCUGCUAUUUGCGCGGGUUGUCCCAAGUGACUUUGGAGACAGCC